rnacentral:rRNA from 1 species
GUCCACGCCGUAAACGAUGGGCACUAGGUGUCGGGGGUAUCCACUCCCUCGGUGCCGCCGCUAACGCAUUAAGUGUCCCGCCUGGGAAGUACGGUCGCAAGAUUAAAACUCAAAGGAAUUGACGGGGGCCCGCACAAGCGGUGGAGCAUGUGGUUCAAUUCGAUGCUACGCGAAGAACCUUACCUGGGUUUGACAUCUGGCGAAUUCCCUGGAAACAGGGAAGUGCCCGCAAGGGAACGCCAAGACAGGUGCUGCAUGGCUGUCGU